UACGUAGGGACCAAGCGUUGUUCGGAUUUAUUGGGCGUAAAGAGCUCGUAGGCGGCUCAGUAAGUCGGAUGUGAAAACUCGGGGCUCAACCCCGAGACGCCAUCCGAUACUGCUGUGGCUUGAAUCUGGUAGGGGAGCACGGAAUUCCUGGUGUAGCGGUGAAAUGCGCAGAUAUCAGGAGGAACACCGGCGGCGAAGGCGGUGCUCUGGGCCAGUAUUGACGCUGAGGAGCGAAAGCGUGGGUAGCAAACAGG
rnacentral:rRNA from 1 species